rnacentral:rRNA from 1 species
GUUGAACGCUGGCGGCAUGCCUUACACAUGCAAGUCGAACGGUAACGCGGGGCAACCCGGCGACGAGUGGCGAACGGGUGAGUAAUGCAUCGGAACGUGCCCAGUAGUGGGGGAUAGCCCGGCGAAAGCCGGAUUAAUACCGCAUACGACCUACGGGUGAAAGCGGGGGACCGUAAGGCCUCGCGCUAUUGGAGCGGGCGAUGUCAGAUUAGGUUGUUGGUGGGGUAAAAGCCUACCAAGCCGACGAUCUGUAGCUGGUCUGAGAGGACGACCAGCCACACUGGGACUGAGACACGGCCCAGACUCCUACGGGAGGCAGCAGUGGGGAAUUUUGGACAAUGGGGGCAACCCUGAUCCAGCCAUGCCGCGUGCGGGAAGAAGGCCUUCGGGUUGUAAACCGCUUUUGUCAGGGAAGAAACGCUCUGGGCUAAUACCCCGGGGUAAUGACGGUACCUGAAGAAUAAGCACCGGCUAACUACGUGCCAGCCGCCGCAGUAAUAC